rnacentral:rRNA from 1 species
CUACCAUGCAAGUCGAACGAUGAUCCCAGCUUGCUGGGGGAUUAGUGGCGAACGGGUGAGUAACACGUGAGUAACCUGCCCUUGACUCUGGGAUAAGCCUGGGAAACUGGGUCUAAUACCGGAUAUGACUCCUCAUCGCAUGGUGGGGGGUGGAAAGCUUUUGUGGUUUUGGAUGGACUCGCGGCCUAUCAGCUUGUUGGUGGGGUAAUGGCCUACCAAGGCGACGACGGGUAGCCGGCCUGAGAGGGUGACCGGCCACACUGGGACUGAGACACGGCCCAGACUCCUACGGGAGGCAGCAGUGGGGAAUAUUGCACAAUGGGCGCAAGCCUGAUGCAGCGACGCCGCGUGAGGGAUGACGGCCUUCGGGUUGUAAACCUCUUUCAGUAGGGAAGAAGCGAAAGUGACGGUACCUGCAGAAGAAGCGCCGGCUAACUACGUGCCAGCAGCCGCGGUAAUACGUAGGGCGCAAGCGUUAUCCGGAAUUAUUGGGCGUAAAGAGCUCGUAGGCGGUUUGUCGCGUCUGCUGUGAAAGACCGGGGCUCAACUCCGGUUCUGCAGUGGGUACGGGCAGACUAGAGUGAUGUAGGGGAGACUGGAAUUCCUGGUGUAGCGGUGAAAUGCGCAGAUAUCAGGAGGAACACCGAUGGCGAAAGCAGGUCUCUGGGCAUUAACUGACGCUGAGGAGCGAAAGCAUGGGGAGCGAACAGGAUUAGAUACCCUGGUAGUCCAUGCCGUAAACGUUGGGCACUAGGUGUGGGGGACAUUCCACGUUUUCCGCGCCGUACCUAACGCAUUAAGUGCCCCGCCUGGGGAGUACGGCCGCAAGGCUUA